ACGCGAAGAACCUUACCUGGUCUUGACAUCCACAGAACUUUYCAGAGAUGGAUUGGUGCCUUCGGGAACUGUGAGACAGGUGCUGCAUGGCUGUCGUCAGCUCGUGUUGUGAAAUGUUGGGUUAAGUCCCGCAACGAGCGCAACCCUUAUCCUUUGUUGCCAGCGGUCCGGCCGGGAACUCAAAGGAGACUGCCAGUGAUAAACUGGAGGAAGGUGGGGAUGACGUCAAGUCAUCAUGGCCCUUACGACCAGGGCUACACACGUGCUACAAUGGCGCAUACAAAGAGAAGCGACCUCGCGAGAGCAAGCGGACCUCAUAAAGKUGCGUCGUAGUCCGGAUUGGAGUCUGCAACUCGACUCCAUGAAGUCGGAAUCGCUAGUAAUCG
rnacentral:rRNA from 1 species